rnacentral:lncRNA from 1 species
UGGCAAUCCAAUACAGGGGCAUAGCCAGUGCUUAUUUGGCCUGGAUGGUUCAGGAUAAUCACCUGAGCAGUGAAACCAGCUGCUUCCAUUGGUGGGUCAUUUUUGCUGUCACCAGCAACGUUGCCUGGAGCAAAGGUGACCACCAUACCAGGUUUGAGAACACCAGUCUCCACUCGGCCAACAGGAACACUACCAAUACCACCAAUUUUGUAGACAUCCUGGAGAGGCAGGUGCAAGGGCUUGUCAGUUGGACGAGUUGGUGGUAGGAUGCAGUCCAGAGCCUCAAGCA